AACUUUCGGCAAUGGGUCACUUGGCUCUCGCAUCGAUGAAGAACGCAGCGAAAUGCGAUAAGUAAUGUGAAUUGCAGAUUUUCAGUGAAUCAUCGAAUCUUUGAACGCACCUUGCGCUCCUUGGUAUUCCGAGGAGCAUGCCUGUUUGAGUGUCAUUAAAUUCUCAACUCCGAUCGAUUUGUUUCGACCUCGGAGCUUGGACUUUGGAGCGUGCUGGCGUCGGUCGGCUCCUCUCAAAUGCAUCAGCGGAAUCUAACGUUUCGGACGUCAGUGUGAUAAUCACGUUGCGCUGUCGACCGAUCCUGAAAGCCCGCUCAUAAUGGUCUUCGGACAACUUCAUAUCAAAUUUGACCUCAAAUCAGGUAGGACUACCCGCUGAACUUAAGCAUAUCAAUAAGCGGAGGCU
rnacentral:misc_RNA from 1 species